rnacentral:tRNA from 1 species
CAUAAUAUUAUAAGCCUUUAUCAACAAUGGAACCCCCAACAAUUAUCUCAAAAUUCACCCAUAUCUUAAUUAG